rnacentral:rRNA from 1 species
CACGGGGGGAGCAAGCGUUGUUCGGAAUCACUGGGCGUAAAGGGCGUGUAGGCGGUUCGGUAAGUGGAAUGUGAAAUGCUCCGGCUCACCCGGAGUACUGCAUCCCAAACUGCCGAGCUUGAGUAUGGGAGAGGAUGAGGGAAUUCCUGGUGUAGCGGUGAAAUGCGCAGAUAUCAGGAGGAACACCGAUGGCGAAGGCAGGUCUCUGGGCAUUAACUGGCGCUGAGGAGCGAAAGCGUGGGGAGCGAACAGG